CGGCCGCGGUAUCCUAACCGUGCAAAGGUAGCGUAAUCACUUGUCUCUUAAAUAGAGACUUGUAUGAACGGCUAAAUGAAGAUAGCACUGUCUCCUUUAAUUAACCAGUGAAACUGAUCUCCAAGUACAAAAGCUUGGAUAAAAACACAAGACGAGAAGACCCUGUGGAGCUUAAAACAACCCUAUUAUAGCUCUGUUUUAAGUUGGGGCGACUUCGGAGAAAACCAAAACCUCCGAGCACAGGGCCAGCCCCCGGCCAACAAGCCAACGACACCAAACUGACCCAGUCUAACUGAAUAACGGACCAAGUUACCCCAGGGAUAACAGCGCCAUCUUCUUCAAGAGUUCCCAUCGACAAGAAGGUUUACGACCUCGAUGUUGGAUCAGGACACCCAAAUGGUGCAGCAGCUAUUAAA
rnacentral:rRNA from 1 species